rnacentral:rRNA from 1 species
UACGGAGGGGGCUAGCGUUGUUCGGAAUUACUGGGCGUAAAGCGCACGUAGGCGGCUUUGCAAGUUAGAGGUGAAAGCCCGGGGCUCAACUCCGGAAUUGCCUUUAAAACUGCAUCGCUAGAAUUGUGGAGAGGUAAGUGGAAUUCCGAGUGUAGAGGUGAAAUUCGUAGAUAUUCGGAAGAACACCAGUGGCGAAGGCGACUCACUGGCCCGUUACUGACGCUGAUGCGCGAAAGCGUGGGGAGCGAACAGG